GAUGAACGCUGGCGGCGUGCCUAAUACAUGCAAGUCGAGCGAACAGACGAGGAGCUUGCUCCUCUGACGUUAGCGGCGGACGGGUGAGUAACACGUGGAUAACCUACCUAUAAGACUGGGAUAACUUCGGGAAUCCGGAGCUAAUACCGGAUAAUAUAUUGAACCGCAUGGUUCACUAGUGAAAGACGGUUUUGCUGUCACUUAUAGAUGGAUCCGCGCCGCAUUAGCUAGUUGGUAAGGUAACGGCUUACCAAGGCAACGAUGCGUAGCCGACCUGAGAGGGUGAUCGGCCACACGGGAACUGAGACACGGUCCAGACUCCUACGGGAGGCAGCAGUAGGGAAUCUUCCGCGAUGGGCGAAAGCCUGACGGAACAACGCCGCGUGAGUGAUGAAGGUCUUCGGAUCGUAAAACUCUGUUAUUAGGGAAGAACAAAUGUGUAAGUAGCUAUGCACGUCUUGACGGUACCUAAACAGAAAGCCACGGCUAACUACGUG
rnacentral:rRNA from 1 species